AGUGAACGCUGGCGGUAGGCCUAACACAUGCAAGUCGAACGGCAGCACAGUAAGAGCUUGCUCUUACGGGUGGCGAGUGGCGGACGGGUGAGGAAUACAUCGGAAUCUACUUUUUCGUGGGGGAUAACGUAGGGAAACUUACGCUAAUACCUCAUACGACCUACGGGUGAAAGCAGGGGAUCUUCGCACCUUGCGCGAUUGAAUGAGCCGAUGUCGGAUUAGCUAGUUGGCGGGGUAAAGGCCCACCAAGGCGACGAUCCGUAGCUGGUCUGAGAGGAUGAUCAGCCACACUGGAACUGAGACACGGUCCAGACUCCUACGGGAGGCAGCAGUGGGGAAUAUUGGACAAUGGGCGCAAGCCUGAUCCAGCCAUACCGCGUGGGUGAAGAAGGCCUUCGGGUUGUAAAGCCCUUUUGUUGGGAAAGAAAAGAAGCAGGUUAAAACCCCGCUGUUCUGACGGUACCCAAAGAAUAAGCAACGGCUAACUUCGUG
rnacentral:rRNA from 1 species